UCGGAGGAAAAGAAACCAACAGGGAUUGCCUCAGUAACGGCGAGUGAAGCGGCAAAAGCUCAAAUUUGAAAUCCCCCGGGAAUUGUAAUUUGAAGAGAUUUGGGUCCGGCCGGCGGGGGUUAAGUCCACUGGAAAGUGGCGCCACAGAGGGUGACAGCCCCGUGAACCCCUUCAAAGCCCUCAUCCCAGAUCUCCAAGAGUCGAGUUGUUUGGGAAUGCAGCUCUAAGUGGGUGGUAAAUUCCAUCUAAAGCUAAAUACCGGCGAGAGACCGAUAGCGAACAAGUACAGUGAUGGAAAGAUGAAAAGCACUUUGAAAAGAGAGUGAAAAAGUACGUGAAAUUGUUGAAAGGGAAGGGCUUGCAAGCAGACACUUAACUGGGCCAGCAUCGGGGCGGCGGGGAGCAAAACCACCGGGGAAUGUACCUUUCGAGGAUUAUAACCCCGGUCCUUACUCCCUCACCACCCCGAGGCCUGCAAUCUAAGGAUGCUGGCGUAAUGCAGGCACC
rnacentral:rRNA from 1 species